rnacentral:rRNA from 1 species
UGUAGAUGACGGUACCCGAAUAAGAAGCACCGGCUAACUACGUGCCAGCAGCCGCGGUAAUACGUAGGGUGCGAGCGUUAAUCGGAAUUACUGGGCGUAAAGCGUGCGCAGGCGGUUUUGUAAGUCAGAUGUGAAAUCCCCGGGCUCAACCUGGGAACUGCAUUUGAGACUGCAAGAC